rnacentral:rRNA from 1 species
GAAAGUAAAUAAGGGCGCAUGGCGGAUGCCUUGGCUCUCGGAGGCGAUGAAGGACGUGAUAAGCUGCGAUAAGCUUCGGGUAGGUGCAAAUGACCUUUGAUCCGAAGAUUUCCGAAUGGGACAACCCGGCAUUCUGAAGGAAUGUCAUCCAACUUUGUUGGAGGCUAACGCAGGGAACUGAAACAUCUUAGUACCUGCAGGAAAAGAAAAUAAAUAAUGAUUCCCCUAGUAGUGGCGAGCGAACGGGGAUUAGCCCAAACCACCCAUGUUACGGCAUGUGUGGGGUUGUAGGACCACGCUCUCGCAAGACAGUUAUUGAGAAGAAACGGCUGGAAAGUCGUGCCAUAGACGGUGAUAGCCCGGUAUUCUAAGGUAACCGAAGCGUAGUGGUAUCCUGAGUAGCGCGGAGCACGAGGAAUUCUGCGUGAAUCAGCCGGGACCAUCCGGUAAGGCUAAAUACUCCCGAGAGACCGAUAGCGAACCAGUACUGUGAAGGAAAGGUGAAAAGCACUUCGAAUAGAAGAGUGAAAUAGUCCCUGAAACCAUGCGCCUACAAGCGGUCGGAGCAGCGUAAGCUGUGACGGCGUGCCUUUUGCAUAAUGAACCUACGAGUUACUUUUUCCGGCAAGGUUAAGCAUCUUGAGAUGUGGAUCCGAAGCGAAAGCGAGUCUGAACAGGGCGGAUAGUCGGAAGGAGUAGACGCGAAACCAAGUGAUCUACCCUUGGGCAGGUUGAAGGUUAGGUAACACUAACUGGAGGACCGAACCGAUAAGCGUUGAAAAGCUUCCGGAUGACCUGAGGGUGGGGGUGAAAGGCUAAUCAAACUUGGAGAUAGCUCGUACUCCCCGAAAUGCAUUUAGGUGCAGCCUUGAGAGUUACUAAUGUGAGGUAGAGCGACUGAUAAGAUGCGAGGGCUUCACCGCCUAUCAAGUCUUGAUAAACUCCGAAUGCGCAUUAGUUCUAUCUCAGGAGUGAGGGCAUGGGUGCUAAGGUCCAUGUCCUAAAGGAGAAGAAUCCAGACCAUCAGCUAAGGUCCCCAAAUAAACACUAAGUUGAACUAACGAAGUCAGAUUGCUAAGACAGCUAGGAUGUUGGCUUGGAAGCAGCCAUUCAUUUAAAGAGUGCGUAACAGCUCACUAGUCGAGGAGUUUGGCGUGGAUAAUAAUCGGGCAUAAGUGUUUUACCGAAGCUAUGGGAUCCUAAUGGAUCGGUAGGGGAGCAUUCCACUCAGCGUUGAAGGCGAAGCGUGAGCUUUACUGGAGCGUGUGGAAAAGCAAAUGUAGGUAUAAGUAACGAUAAAGGGGGUGAGAAACCCCCUCGCCGAAAGACUAAGGUUUCCUGAUCAACGCUAAUCGGAUCAGGGUUAGUCGGGUCCUAAGGCUCAGCCGAACGGUGAGGCCGAUGGCAGAACAGGUUAAUAUUCCUGUACUACCUAUAAGAGUGAUGUGGAGACGGAGGAGUGACAACGCCGCGGACUGACGGAAUAGUCCGUUAAAGGGUGUAGAUGUUGAUUAUCCCAGGCAAAUCCGGGAUAAGAGUCGAACCUGACAGUAUACCAAUUUCCUCGGAAAACGGUAAUAGUGCGUGUAAACAUACUCCCAAGAAAAUCCGCUAAACUUAAUCUUACAGGUACCCGUACCGUAAACGGACACACGUAGUCGGGUUGAAUAUACUCAGGCGCUUGAGUGAAUCACGGUUAAGGAACUAGGCAAAUUGACCCUGUAACUUCGGGAUAAAGGGUCCCUACCCGGUGACGGGAGGGCGCAGAGAAUAGGUCCAGGCAACUGUUUAACAAAAACACAGGGCUGUGCAAAAUUGAAAGAUCACGUAUACAGCCUGACACCUGCCCGGUGCUGGAAGGUUAAGAGGAGAUGUCAUCGCAAGAGAAGCAUUGAAUUGAAGCCCCAGUAAACGGCGGCCGUAACUAUAACGGUCCUAAGGUAGCGAAAUUCCUUGUCGGGU